rnacentral:rRNA from 1 species
UACGUAGGGUGCGAGCGUUUGUCCGGAAUUACUGGGCGUAAAGAGCUCGUAGGUGGUUUGUCGCGUUGUUCGUGAAAACUCACAGCUUAACUGUGGGCGUGCGGGCGAUACGGGCAGACUGGAGUACUGCAGGGGAGACUGGAAUUCCUGGUGUAGCGGUGGAAUGCGCAGAUAUCAGGAGGAACACCGGUGGCGAAGGCGGGUCUCUGGGCAGUAACUGACGCUGAGGAGCGAAAGCGUGGGGAGCGAACAGGA